AAUACAGUGUAUGUAAAAAUGGGUCGAAACUGGAUACCUAUGUGAAUAACAUCAACAAGCACCAGGCUUUGUGUACACAUUGCGACAGUGAUAAGCCAGACUGCAAAACACCGCGAAAAGCGCGCCGUGUUCACGUCGGCUCAUUAGAGUGGCCUUGCUUUAGAAUUUCACGGCAAGCACAGGCUGAGUGGAAGCAGACUCAAAAACAACUCUCUGGAGCUUCACAGAAGACAUCUGAACAUCAUCAUCAUAAAAGCAGCAAGUUAUUAUCCUUAUUUAUGGAUAUGCAGGCUGAGCGUGUGGAACAGCGGUACUGGUGAGGCAGCAGGCCAUGCUGGGCACACUGGGGCUACAGAAUCUUACGCUGAUAUGGAGCCAGUCUGUCCUGAGGCACUACCACGAUUAUCUUAUAGACGGUACAAACAAGUGGACUGGACGACAGCGGGUGAAAAGUGAAACCAUUAUGUGUCUCAUGCCCUCUAGUGGCUGGCCGUAGUUCACCUUUUAACAACACCCAUUCCCAUGUGAAGGCGUUCCCGCUGGAUGGCCACAGACUGAUGGUGUUCCGCUGAAGGUGACAGGCCAGUCAUCCGCCCCUAAUGCGUCCGCGUCCGUGUUCCUCGUCACGGCUCUGCGCUCCAGCGAGGUGGCCACGUACUCCCAUCGCGCCAAGGCCCGACGCGUCUCCGCGACUUCGCCUGAGGCAGCGCCCGCUAAUCUAACGCCGCUGAUCGCUGGGCAGCACGUCGAUGGCAAGAUUGUAGUGACCAGUGGCCAUAAUGGGGUGUUAACGAUGAUUGAACAGACAGAGUGGACAAAAUGGGGUGGCCAUUGAUUGGGUCGGCUGAAAAAUACGAGGUCACUGUUACGUGGCAGAGACAUUAUUUGUCUCAUUUGUGCUAAGACAGUACUGUGUUUAUUUUGCCUGGGCUAACAGUCCCUGAAAUGCACAUAUGGUCCAGAGUAGAUAUCUGUCUAAUGAAACCAGGGAUGGAAGGGAAACUGGAUUAGAGGUGGCAGGGUACUGCCAUCAUUACAGUCAGGAUACAUUUGAUAGCAAAACACGCUCAGACGUAGGAACACAAGUGUGAUGGAGUGAGUAGAUCAAGGUGUGCCUGUCUUGUUGUGAGGGAGCGAUGAGGGACCGUAGCCAGUGACUCCUGAACAUAAAUCAAACACAGUGAAAGAUUUGCAAUAGACUGGCACAACGUAGCACACAGACACUGCUGCAUGUGCUAAACGCUGCAGCCAGAAGGACAGUUUGAAACCAUUUCUUCUCAACGAAGUUUCUCUGUCUUUCAAGGACUUUCAGUUCUUAUUUCAGAACUCUUUAUCUGCGUGUGGGAGAGAGAAAGAGAGAGAGAGAGAGAGAGAAAGAGAGAGAGUGUGUGUGCAUGUCUCAAGGAAAUUACAUUAUUGACAUCUAAACAUCGUCAUUAACUUACAUCCCCUAGUCACUGAUUGGCCAGGUAAAACUUUCUAGUCAGUUUGAUAAGGGGAGAUCACAUGCGGCCAUACUUGCACGUGCUUUUUUCGUAUGCCGCUCCAAAACUCAGCAAAUCGUCCUCGUUCUUCUUGCCAGAGCGUCCUCAUUAUCGCGCUCUACCGCACAGCUCACAUUUGGAAUUAUGUGCCCGUUCCUGUUAUGAAGGUAAUGGACAGACCAGCUCUCACACGCCUCCAUGUGCACAGACGCAAAUGCGUAAUUUGCAGCCGUGCUGAUGGUCUGAUACAGCUGACUGAACACCGAUCUUUGUUUAAAGCAGAAUAUAUAAUGGGAACUGAAGCAACGUAGUUGUACCAGUCAUUCUCCUUCAUCAUCUCUCACUAUCAUUUUUCAUUUAAAUUAAAGGGUACAUCGCCAGGGUGGAUCAAUUCACCUGAUGACUAGAAGGAGAAUAAUGGCCCUGAAUUAAAAUGCUUAACACUUCAAUAUUGGUUUGAAUUGCGAAACUUUUAAAGUGAGUUGCAAUAGAAUGAUAUAGUGGACUAAUAAGCGAUUAUAUCCCACAGGCUAAAACCACUGGUAAAGUUCUGUCAUUGUUCCAAAUGACCAUCUGGGAUGCCAUCUGGGAAAGGCAAAGUGUGCAAUGAAUUUAAGUUCAGGCAAUGAAAGUUUUGUACCUAAUGCAAACUUACUUUCAUUUCACUAACUGUACGUACACAAGACUUAUUAAAGGUCUUUGUGCAUAAAUUCAAACUUGCAUUUUAUUAAAAAUUCAUUAGAUUCA